rnacentral:misc_RNA from 1 species
GCAAACUUGGUCAUUUAGAGGAAGUAAAAGUCGUAACAAGGUUUCCGUAGGUGAACCUGCGGAAGGAUCAUUAAAGUAAUAUGGGGUUCUAAAAAUUAUGACCCCUUAAAUCUGAACUUGUGGUAUCACUGAUUUGGUUGUUUUGGGUUUAAAAAGGAUAGGCUAAUAUGAAUGGGAAAUUUUUUUUUUUUCUAGGUUUCUUUUUUGCAUUAGACUUGUCGACCCAAAACAAAAACUGAAAAACUCUUAUUUUUUUUUUGACUGAAAUAUCAAGUUAAAAAUCCAAUUUUUGGGUUUAAAAAAAAAAAAGUUUUAAAUAACUUUCAACAACGGAUCUCUUGGUUCUCGCAUCGAUGAAGAACGCAGC